AACGAACGCUGGCGGCAGGCCUAACACAUGCAAGUCGAGCGAAGCCUUCGGGCUUAGCGGCGGACGGGUGAGUAACGCGUGGGAACGUGCCCUUUGGUACGGAAUAGCCCCGGGAAACUGGGAGUAAUACCGUAUGUGGUCGAGAGACGAAAGAUUUAUGCGCCAAAGGAUCGGCCCGCGUUGGAUUGGGUAGUUGGUGGGGUAAUGGCCUACCAAGCCGACGAUCCAUAGCUGGUUUGAGAGGAUGACCAGCCACACUGGGACUGAGACACGGCCCAGACUCCUACGGGAGGCGGCAGUGGGAAAUCUUAGAAAAUGGUGGAACCCCUGAUCUAGCCAUGCCGCGUGAUCGAUGAAGGCCUUAGGGUUGUAAAGAUCUUUCAGUGGGGAAGAUAAUGACUGUACCCACAGAAGAAGCCCCGGCUAACUCCGUGCCAGCCGCCGCAGUAAAAC
rnacentral:rRNA from 1 species